rnacentral:tRNA from 4 species
GCGAGCGUAGCCAAGUGGUUAAGGCAGCGGGUUGUGGUCCCGCCACUCGUGGGUUCGAGUCCCAUCGUUCGCC